UAAGGGUUACAUUUUGGUUGGCCAUUUGCCCCCCUUCCAAAAGGAAAACAAAGCACAGCAUCUGGAAGCUGGUAGCUACAGGAAACAUCUGCAGAGCUGAUAUUUUCAAUAAAUGCUUAUAAGGUUGCGAGGGUUAGCAAGAAGAGGAUGAGGGCAAGUCGGGAAAGGAUAUUAUUUAUAAGGAAAAAAAACUCAACCGUAAUAAGAGCCAGGAGGAUGACUGAGAGAAUACUUUCUACAGAAACCCAUAAAGAUCCCAGGAUGCACAUCUAUAGCUACACUGCAGUGCUUAUUCCAGAAAUCUUCAUCUUGACUGAAUUUUUUAAUGCAUCCUGAUGUAUUUAUCACCUCACCAGCCGAGCACAAGUCAACAGAUUGUGACUGAAGAACAGCAUUGGCUGGCUUUAAAAUACCAAGAAUAUGGACUGGGAACUUUCCAAGAACAAAGAAGCUCUGUCUCUUCAGCUGAGAAAAAAGACAGGAUGCUUCUGUAUACAAGUCUAUGGAAGCAAUAUUAUCCUCCAAGACUUCUGACAGUAUAUCAAGAAUAAGAUCGUGAUUAUCAACAACACAUUUGGUCAAUUCAAAAUGGCUUGUCCAGCGUAUUUCUAGCAAUGUCUUUAGUGAAGGGCCAUUGUACUUUUGAAUAAUGUAGUGCUGAUGAAAGAAUGCAUACAGAGAACUAUAAAGAUUAAAAAAAAAAUCUUUGCACGUGGUUCACUUUGAAUUGCAUGCACUGCUACUAAGUGCAGCUGUAACAAUGAAUGUACAGUGUGUGCCUUCCUGGUUUUCUUUGCAGCAAAGCCUGCACACCUCCAUUAACCCCACUCAUCACCACUGGCUGAUGAUGAUGUCAGCAUUAAAACCUGCUUCAGAGAGGUGUUGAAGUGUUUGAGAUGUAAUGUAAUCUGCAUCCCACUGAUGCAAUUCAAUUCAAUAAUGUGAGGCACAGGCUCUUAUUAUCAGUGCUACUAGUAGUAGUGUGAGGCACAGGCUCUUUAUUUUGUUGAAUAAGAAACCAAUCCAUUGUGAUGCAGCAGAACUACGGUAAGGAGGCCCAGAAGUAAAUAAAACUAACUUAAUGUACACAAAUAAUAAUUAAAUGAAAUGAAUGGAUGGCAAAAAAAAUCUUUAUUUACUAACCUUAUUAUAACCUUAUU